AUUGAACGCUGGCGGCAGGCUUAACACAUGCAAGUCGAGCGGGGUGAUGGUGCUUGCACUAUCACUUAGCGGCGGACGGGUGAGUAAUGCUUAGGAAUCUGCCUAUUAGUGGGGGACAACAUCUCGAAAGGGAUGCUAAUACCGCAUACGUCCUACGGGAGAAAGCAGGGGAUCACUUGUGACCUUGCGCUAAUAGAUGAGCCUAAGUCGGAUUAGCUAGUUGGUGGGGUAAAGGCCUACCAAGGCGACGAUCUGUAGCGGGUCUGAGAGGAUGAUCCGCCACACUGGGACGGAGACACGGCCCAGACUCCUACGGGAGGCAGCAGUGGGGAAUAUUGGACAAUGGGGGGAACCCUGAUCCAGCCAUGCCGCGUGUGUGAAGAAGGCCUUAUGGUUGUAAAGCACUUUAAGCGAGGAGGAGGCUCUUUUGGUUAAUACCCAAGAUGAGCGGACGUUACUCGCAGAAUAAGCACCGGCUAACUCUGUGCCAGCCGCCGCAGUAA
rnacentral:rRNA from 1 species